UACAGAGGUCCCGAGCGUUGUUCGGAUUCACUGGGCGUAAAGGGUGCGUAGGUGGCCAUGUAAGUUUGAUGUGAAAUCUCCGGGCUUAACCCGGAAAAUGCAUUGAAUACUCUGUGGCUGGAGGUUUGGAGGGGGGACUGGAAUUCUCGGUGUAGCAGUGAAAUGCGUAGAUAUCGAGAGGAACACCAGUGGCGAAGGCGGGUCCCUGGACAACACCUGACACUGAGGCACGAAAGCUAGGGGAGCAAACAGG
rnacentral:rRNA from 1 species